rnacentral:rRNA from 1 species
AGAGUUUGAUCCUGGCUCAGGACGAACGCUGGCGGCGUGCUUAACACAUGCAAGUCGAACGGAAAGGCCCUUCGGGGUACUCGAGUGGCGAACGGGUGAGUAACACGUGGGUGAUCUGCCCUGCACUCUGGGAUAAGCCUGGGAAACUGGGCCUAAUACCGGAUAGGACCGCAUGCUUCAUGGUGUGUGGUGCAAAGCUUUUGCGGUGUGGGAUGAGCCCGCGGCCUAUCAGCUUGUUGGUGGGGUAAUGGCCUACCAAGGCGACGACGGGUAGCCGGCCUGAGAGGGUGACCGGCCACACUGGGACUGAGAUACGGCCCAGACUCCUACGGGAGGCAGCAGUGGGGAAUAUUGCACAAUGGGCGCAAGCCUGAUGCAGCGACGCCGCGUGAGGGAUGACGGCCUUCGGGUUGUAAACCUCUUUCAGUAGGGACGAAGCGAAAGUGACGGUACCUACAGAAGAAGGACCGGCCAACUACGUGCCAGCAGCCGCGGUAAUACGUAGGGUCCGAGCGUUGUCCGGAAUUACUGGGCGUAAAGAGCUCGUAGGUGGUUUGUCGCGUUGCUCGUGAAAACUCACAGCUUAACUGUGGGCGUGCGGGCGAUACGGGCAGACUAGAGUACUGCAGGGGAGACUGGAAUUCCUGGUGUAGCGGUGGAAUGCGCAGAUAUCAGGAGGAACACCGGUGGCGAAGGCGGGUCUCUGAGCAGUAACUGACGCUGAGGAGCGAAAGCGUGGGUAGCGAACAGGAUUAGAUACCCUGGUAGUCC